rnacentral:rRNA from 1 species
GUGUCAGCAGCCGCGGUAAUACGUAGGGGGCGAGCGUUAUCCGGAAUUAUUGGGCGUAAAGGGUUCGCAGGUGGUCUGAUAAGUCAGAUGUGAAAGGCAGUGGCUCAACCAUUGCAAGCAUUUGAAACUGUCAGACUUGAGUACAGGAGAGGAAAGCGGAAUUCCUAGUGUAGCGGUGAAAUGCGUAGAUAUUAGGAGGAACACCAGUGGCGAAGGCGGCUUUCUGGACUGAAACUGACACUGAGGAACGAAAGCGUGGGGAGCAAACAGGAUUAGAUACCCCAGUAGUCC